GACAAUGAAUACCAGAAGAAGAGAGUUGCAGAAACACGAAUCCUAAACUGUAGAAGCAGAAAAAUGGAUAUUGGAAAAGUAGGUGAGAUCAAAGAGUUCAUAGAAGCAUGCACCUCUUCUUCACACUCCUUCCCUUUCUUUCUUCAAAUCUUACCUUUUCAGUUUGGAUGCCAACAUCAAUCCACAACCCAAAAUGGUACUUCUUCCCUUAUAAUUAUCGAUUUUCACUUCUUUAAUGCACACAUUUACUUACUCAAUACUUGUAUUGUAUGCAGUAAUCUAUUGUUGGUGAUAAAAAUACUCAAUACUUGA